ensembl:lncRNA novel transcript, antisense CCL15
AAACAGAUUCAUGCAGCCCCUGAAAUACCUUUUUUGUCUGAAACUCAAUUCCAGCCUUCAGGUUGAGGCCCUAGAAAGGAAAACCAGAUCUGAGGGAUCCAAAGCCUGGCAACAGGCACAAUAAUGGGCGAUCAGCUGUCUUCACCACCCCCAGCUUAUACUCCUCUAGAGUGUAUCCUGAACCACUGGGACUGCUUUGACCCUCAGACUCUGGAGGAAAAUGGCUCAUAGCCCUCUGCACAAAGGUUUGGGCAAAUUAUGAAGGACUGGCUUGGCCUCAGGAAGAAACCAUUCAUUUCGAUAUCAUCCAGCAGUUGGAGCUUUUCUGUAAACGUGAGGGCAAAUGCUCUGAGGCCCAUAUGUGCAGGCUUUCUAUACCGUGCAGGGCAAUCCAGACCUUAGCUGACAAUGUAGAAUUAAUCCAGACCGGUUUGCCAUCUCGGGAGAGGCUGCAAGGGGCAAUCCCAGGGAACUAAAAAAACAAAUCCCAGAGGCAUCCCCAGCAGAGGAGCCAGCUCCCUCCAGCCCUGCUCCUCCAGGUCCACCCCAUCCUCCCUAUCCAGCUUCAGUCUCUCACUUGCCCCCUCCUAGAAAUUCUCACCCUAGACAAGCCCCAGUCUCAUUCUUUCCCCUCCAACAGAUGCCUGGUGAAUUUACCCCAUAAGGUCCAGGUACUCUUCUCUCUACAGAACUUGAAGCAAAUUGAGGGGGAUCUUGGCAAGUUUUCAGAUGACCCUGAGAGAUAUAUAGAGGCUUUUCAGAACUUAACCCAAGUAUCUGAGCUCUCCUAGGAAGACGUCAUGUUACUUUGAACCAAACCCUGACUAACACUGAGAAGCAGGCCACUCUGCAAGUGACAGAGAGAUCUGGGGAUGAGGUUUGUAUCAUACGUAGCACCCAGGAAAGGGGGUGAAUAUUAUCCAACUGGAAGAGAAGGAGUAUCAAUGAAUCUCCCUAAAUGGGAUCCCAAUGACAAGAUGGGAGAAUGCAAGAGGAGAGUUUCAGGUGUGCAUAAUAGAGGGCUUAUGUAGGAUUAGAACUAAGCCUCUCUACUAUAUCGAGAUAUCCAUGAGAGACCAGGGAUUUAAUGAAAAUCCCACUGCCUUCUUGGGGAGGCUAAGAGGGACCUUUGUAAAGCAUGGGUCUCUGUGUCCCGAUUCCAUCAUGGGACAACUAAUCCUAAAUGAUAAAUGUAUUACUCAGGCAGCCCCUGAUAUCAGAGGGAAGUUGCAGAAAUGGGCCCUGGCGUCGGGGAGUACUUUAGGAGACCUCCUGAAAGAGGCCACCUUGGUCUUUUACAGUACAGAUAGGGAGACACAAGAAAGAGGCAGAAGCUUUAAGGGUCACCAUGCAAACCCACAAACCCCAGAAUUCCUAAGGUGCAUCUGUUAACUCCUACAGAUGUGGCAAGAACAGUUAUCUCUCUUCUAAAAUUUAACCACACCCAUGCAAGUCUUAAUUUCUUUCACUAAGGUGAAACAGCUCAGGGUACAAUGUUGUUAGUAUAUUACACUUCCUAUUUCGGUAAUCUUUGGUGGCAAGAACAGUUAUCUCUCUUUUAAAAUUUAACCACACCCAUACAAGUCUUAAUUUCUUUCACCAGGGUGAAACAGCUCAGGGUACAAUGUUGUGAGUAUGUUACAUUUCCUAUUUCUGUAAUCUUUGGCACUAGAUUAUUUCUUUGUAUAAUACACGUUUAACCCAUGCAUACUUAACACCUU